AAUACCACCCGAUUCGAACGUUAUCACUCGAUUGAAUGGGGCGUUAUCAGCGGUUAUCAGCCCAUAGAAAUGGGCCAGGAGGGGCCUCCUGUGCCUACUAGUAGGCUCAGAAGGCCGUGAUCAUCCAUCCAAAUGGUUGAUCACCCACAAAUAUACAAGAGAAGACUCCAGAUCCAAUCCCAGAAUUCCUGCUCACCGGUAAUCGGAAGUCUACUGGACGAAUGCGGGAACGUUGCGAUAUUUCCUGCUUAAUAUUUUCAGGCACAAUGAAUGAUAUUAAGGGCAGGUGCGCCACAUUGGGGGAAGAUGCAAAGCAGAAAUACAUUCAAGAGGCAGCAGCACUGAGGGCACAUGGGCAGUCACAGGACACUAAACCCUGAGAUGGAGGCAAUUUGUGCUGUGUCUGCUGCGUCCAUUUUUAUGAUAAGAAGAAGAAUGCAAGAAAGAAGUGGCAUUCAUGGUCUCAGUGCACAGUGUGCCAAUCAUGGUCACACACAGCAUGUGGCUUUAAAAAGAACAAGUGCGUUCACUGCCAGUGUCAAGACACCAUGCUAACACCCUGAAGAUGUAUCUUGUUACUUGUUUGAGUUGUUUUUACUGUGUUGACGGCCCCCAACCCAUCCAUACAAACACACACACACACACACAAUACAUACAUAUGCUGCAAAUUUAUUGUAAUGACCACACUUCACACGUAAGAAGAAAAUUGUGAUCUUUUUGUUAUUUUCAUUCACCCCAUUUUUAUUUAUUAUUGUUGUUUGUUGGCACCAUCAAUGUGUUCUCCUUUAUACAGGACUUAUGUGGGGACCAAUAAAGUUAUAUUGUACUGAA